GUCUUUUUGAUUAAUAAUUUAAAGUCUAAUCUGCCCACUGAUAAUAUAUUAAAGGGCUGCAGUAUUUUGACUGUACAAAGGUAGCAUAAUCAUUAGUCUCUUAAUUGGUGACUUGUAUGAAAGAUUUAAUGAAAUAUAUACUGUCUCUUUUUAAUUUAUAAAAUUUAAUUUUUUAGUUAAAAAGCUAAAAUAUAUUUAAAAGACGAGAAGACCCUAUAGAGUUUAAUAUUUAAUUAAAUUAAAAUUUUUUAUAAGAUUUAAAAUUUUAAUUUUAGUAAAUAUUUUGUUGGGGUGACAAAAAAAUUAAAAAAACUUUUUUUAUAAAUUUACAUAAAUAAAUGAGUAAGUGAUCCGUAAUUUACGAUUAAAAGAAAAAAUUACCUUAGGGAUAACAGCGUAAUUUUUUUUUUUAGUUCAAAUAAGAAAAAAAGUUUGCGACCUCGAUGUUGGAUUAAGAUAAAAUUUAAAUGCAAAAGUUUAAAAUUUUUGAUCUGUUCGAUCAUUAAAAUCUUACA
rnacentral:rRNA from 1 species